rnacentral:rRNA from 1 species
GAUGAACGCUGGCGGCGUGCUUAACACAUGCAAGUCGAACGAAGCAUUUGCGACAGAUUUUUUCGGAAUGAAGUUGCUUAUGACUGAGUGGCGGACGGGUGAGUAACGCGUGGGUAACCUGCCUUGUACUGGGGGAUAGCAGCUGGAAACGGCUGGUAAUACCGCAUAAGCGCACAAUGUUGCAUGACAUGGUGUGAAAAACUCCGGUGGUAUAAGAUGGACCCGCGUUUGAUUAGCUAGUUGGUGAGAUAACAGCCCACCAAGGCGACGAUCAGUAGCCGAACUGGGAGGGUGACCGGCCACAGUGGGACUGAGACACGGCCCAGACUCCUACGGGAGGCAGCAGUGGGGAAUAGUGCACAAUGGAGGAAACUCUGAUGCAGCGACGCCGCGUGAGUGAAGAAGUAAUUCGUUAUGUAAAGCUCUAUCAGCAGGGAAGAUAGUGACGGUACCUUACUAAGAAGCUCCGGCUAAAUACGUG